rnacentral:rRNA from 1 species
AUGGAUGCAGCCGAGAAGCUCGGGCUGGCGACUUCACCACCGUACCUCGCCCUGUCCUCGAGCAGCAAUGUCAACUACGCCAACGGCGUUAACUUCGCUUCCGGUGGCGCAGGAGUCUCCAACGCCACUAACAAGGACCUGUGCAUCACCUUCGACAAGCAGAUCGAGUACUACUCCACCGUGUACGCGUCUCUGGCGCGGAGCCUCGGCCAGGCCCAGGCCGACAACCACCUGGCCAAGUCCAUUUUUGCCAUCAGCAUCGGCAGCAACGACAUCAUCCACUACGCCAAGGCCAACACCGCCGCCGAGCUCGGGGAUGACGGCCCCUCCCAGCAGUUCAUCGACACGCUGAUCCAGUCCCUCACAGGCCAACUGCAGAGCCUGUACAACCUCGGGGCACGCAAGGUGCUCUUCCUUGGCGGGCCGGUGGGCUGCACCCCGUCGCUGCGGGAGCUGAGCUCCACCAAGGACUGCAGCGCCCUUGCGAACGCCAUGGCCGUGCAGUGCAACAAGGCGGCGGAGGCCGUGCUGAGCGGCAUGAGCGCGCAGCACCAGGGCCUGCAAUACGCGCUGUUCGACUCCUCCGCCGCGCUGCUCCGGUACAUCGACCAGCCCGCGGCGUAUGGCUUUGCCGAGGCCAAGGCGGCAUGCUGCGGUCUGGGGGACAUGCACGCUAAGAUCGCCUACACCCCGCUCAGCCACUACUGUGCCAACCGCUCGGACCACGUCUUCUGGGACUUCUACCACCCCACGGAGGCCACCGCGCAGAAGCUCACCAGCACCGCCUUUGAUGGCUCGGCGCCAUUCAUCUUCCCCAUCAACAUAAGGCAGCUCAGUGCUAUAUAG